UUAAGAGUUUUAUAAGAGCUUCGUAUAACCCCGGUAAUCGGUCCGGGGGUCUCUACCAGGUGACCGCAAAUCACCUGACUACGAAGCUUGGUUCUUCGUGG
rnacentral:ncRNA from 2 species